CUACGGAGGGUGCAAGCGUUACUCGGAAUCACUGGGCGUAAAGCGCGCGCAGGCGGCUAUUUAAGUUUGAUGUGAAAGCCUACGGCUCAACCGUAGAACUGCAUCCAAAACUAUUUAGCUAGAGUGUGGGAGAGGAAGAUGGAAUUAGUUGUGUAGGGGUAAAAUACGUAGAGAUAACUAGGAAUACCAAAAGCGAAGGCAAUCUUCUGGAACACUACUGACGCUGAGGCGCGAAAGCGUGGGGAGCAAACAGGAUUAGAAACCCUUGUAGUCC
rnacentral:rRNA from 1 species